GGGAGAAGUCAAACCUCCAGACAGGGGAGGUCACAUUGAACAUCUGCCAUAAUAACCUGAGUGUCCCAGUAAGCUGUUACAGUGAGCCAGCAGGAACAAUACAAGGACAUUGAAUCUGAAGCUGCAAAUUGGAAUUUAGCCAUCAUUGAUUUUAUUAUUUACACAUGGGCCUUUCUAACUGUGAUGUGUCAAAAUGUCAUCUGUGAAAUAGUCUUGGAAAAAGGUUGUGCAUGAUGGUCUGAGCAGUGUAUUGCAACAGCAAUAAAGACAUUUUGGGUUUUUU